UGGGGAAUAUUGCACAAUGGGCGCAAGCCUGAUGCAGCCAUGCCGCGAGUAUGAAGAAGGCCUUCGGGUUGUAAAGUACUUUCAGUCGGGAGGAAGGUGGUAAGGUUAAUAACCUUAUCAAUUGACGUUACCGACAGAAGAAGCACCGGCUAACUCCGUGCCAGCAGCCGCGGUAAUACGGAGGGUGCAAGCGUUAAUCGGAAUUACUGGGCGUAAAGCGCACGCAGGCGGUUGAUUGAGUCAGAUGUGAAAUCCCCGGGCUUAACCCGGGAAUUGCAUCUGAUACUGGUCAGCUAGAGUCUUGUAGAGGGGGGUAGAAUUCCAUGUGUAGCGGUGAAAUGCGUAGAGAUGUGGAGGAAUACCGGUGGCGAAGGCGGCCCCCUGGACAAAGACUGACGCUCAGGUGCGAAAGCGUGGGGAGCAAACAGG
rnacentral:rRNA from 1 species